AAGGGUGAGAAGGGGGACCGUGGUGAGACGGGACCACAAGGACGUACAGGGCAGCCAGGACCCCGUGGGGAGCCGGGUCGCCAUGGGCUG